rnacentral:rRNA from 1 species
UCGAUGAAGAACGCAGCAAAAUGCGAUAAGUAAUGUGAAUUGCAGAAUUCAGUGAAUCAUCGAAUCUUUGAACGCACAUUGCGCCCGCCAGUAUUCUGGCGGGCAUGCCUGUUCGAGCGUCAUUUCAACCCUCAAGCUCAGCUUGGUGUUGGGACUCGCGGUAACCCGCGUUCCCCAAAUCGAUUGGCGGUCACGUCGAGCUUCCAUAGCGUAGUAAUCAUACACCUCGUUACUGGUAAUCGUCGCGGCCACGCCGUUAAACCCCAACUUCUGAAUGUUGACCUCGGAUCAGGUAGGAAUACCCGCUGAACUUAAGCAUAUCAAUAAGCGGAGGAA